rnacentral:rRNA from 1 species
AGAGUUUGAUCCUGGCUCAGGAUGAACGCUGGCGGCAUGCCUAAUACAUGCAAGUCGAACGAGAGGAAGGAAAGCUUGCUUUUCUGAAUCUAGUGGCGAACGGGUGAGUAACACGUAGGUAACCUGCCCAUGUGCCCGGGAUAACUUCUGGAAACGGAUGCUAAAACCGGAUAGGUAGCAGACAAGCAUUUGACUGCUAUUAAAGUGGCCUUGGCCAUGAACAUGGAUGGACCUGCGGUGCAUUAGCUAGUUGGUGAGGUAACGGCCCACCAAGGCGACGAUGCAUAGCCGGCCUGAGAGGGCGGACGGCCACAUUGGGACUGAGACACGGCCCAAACUCCUACGGGAGGCAGCAGUAGGGAAUUUUCGUCAAUGGGGGGAACCCUGAACGAGCAAUGCCGCGUGAGUGAGGAAGGUCUUCGGAUCGUAAAGCUCUGUUGUAAGAGAAAAACGACAUUCAUAGGGAAUGAUGAGUGAGUGAUGGUAUCUUACCAGAAAGUCACGGCUAACUACGUGCCAGCAGCCGCGGUAAUACGUAGGUGGCGAGCGUUAUCCGGAAUGAUUGGGCGUAAAGGGUGCGUAGGUGGCAGAUCAAGUCUGGAGUAAAAGGUAUGGGCUCAACCCGUACUGGCUCUGGAAACUGAUCAGCUAGAGAACAGAAGAGGACGGCGGAACUCCAUGUGUAGCGGUAAAAUGCGUAGAUAUAUGGAAGAACACCGGUGGCGAAGGCGGCCGUCUGGUCUGUUGCUGACACUGAAGCACGAAAGCGUGGGGAGCAAAUAGGAUUAGAUACCCUAGUAGUCCACGCCGUAAACGAUGAGAACUAGGUGUUGGGGGAAUAACUCAGUGCCGCAGUUAACGCAAUAAGUUCUCCGCCUGGGGAGUAUGCACGCAAGUGUGAAACUCAAAGGAAUUGACGGGGGCCCGCACAAGCGGUGGAGUAUGUGGUUUAA